ACCGAGAUUCCCCCAGUAGCGGCGAGCGAACGGGGAGGAGCCCAGAGCCUGAAUCAGCAUGUGUGUUAGUGGAAGCGUCUGGAAAGGCGCGCGAUACAGGGUGACAGCCCCGUACACAAAAGCGCACAUGCUGUGAGCUCGAUGAGUAGGGCGGGACACGUGGUAUCCUGUCUGAAUAUGGGGGGACCAUCCUCCAAGGCUAAAUACUCCUGACUGACCGAUAGUGAACCAGUACCGUGAGGGAAAGGCGAAAAG
rnacentral:rRNA from 2 species